GGGGGAGGUCUCUGGGUCUGAACACACAACAGCUCAGUCCUGAAAUAGGUUGGAGAGUGUGAGAUUAUGGGGGUGGGGGAAUAGUAUUCAUAUUGUUAACAAAUGCCUCAGUUCCCUGAAUCGUGUGAAAAUUGUAGGGGUGCGAUAUUUGCCAAGGUUUGGUUCCCUUUGGAAUAAGGGAUCUCUGGAGACUAAGGAUAAUAUCCAGCCAAGCAAUUUUGACCUAUUGAAACCAAUGGUCUUCAGUAACUUUUAGCUCAGGGUCUACUCUGAGUAUGACUAGAUGUCACCCUUGAGGCAUUUUUGUAAUAUUUACAGAUUGAGCAGAUAUGGAAACAGACACUGUAACUCCUACAAACAGCAAAAUCCACAGUCCCACAUCGUGUCACAGAGAAGUACACCCCCAAAAGGUCUUCUCCAGAGCUCCAAACUGGUCUCUCCCUCCCCUCUUCUGGGUUCUAAAUGAAGUCAGCCUUCACACAAACCCUGUUUGAUGAUAUCAUUCCCUGCCCUUUCUCCGACUGGUUUCUUCUAUUUGGAACAUUCUAGAAUGGGCUCCGUGUCACAAACCAAUUGCCACCUCUGGUUCCAGCAGCCCUCAGAACUCCUGGUGGUUUGUUCUCAGAGAGCUCCCAGGUGAGGACCUCACUCAAAGAGUUUGGUUGUCCCCUUUACUCACAUGAAGCUGCUCUUUUUGCUUUGUUUUACAUACAGUGUUGGGGUUCCUAUCUGUUUUUCUGCAUCCCUCCAGCCACAGGAGCAGAGGAGAUAGAGAGCCAGGCAAGAACUUCACCAAAAGGCCUGGCUAGCUGCCCAUGAGGCUACUCAGAAGGAGGGCAAAGCUCUUGGAAGCCCUUGCUCAAAUCAUGAUGAGGCUGAGGGCCAGGAAGGGAGGCCUCCAGCUCCUGUAGAAGACCCCAGUCUGAGUUGAAUCAUGGCUGAAGCAACAUCUCCCAAGCUGCAGCCAGCCUGACCCAAAGAAAUGGACAAGUAGAGAUACAGAGUGGGUGAUGAGACCUGGGGAAGUUCAGGAGCAGGGAGAGGGGAACACGUGAAACACUUAUUUACAGCCAAGGGGCUAUGAAAUAGAUGGAAAGAUUCAUCCAGUUGUGACUCAUCAGGUCUAGAGUGCAGUUUUAUUCUUCAGAAUGCCUUUCACCUUCAGAAUAAGAAUGCAAAGGGAAACAUAAGAGCCUUAAUGAAAAAGAAUCGAGAUACCAGGCUCACUGGCAUAGGUAAUUGAGGAAAGAAUUGUGAAACUAAUAUUGCAUGCUAAAUUGUGAAAAAUGUUUUUAAAAACUUCAUUGGCAGAAAUUGCUACAAAAUGUGUUUAAAACAAAAACCUAACCAAAACAAAACAAUGCUAAUAUUGGUGCAGGUAGUAGCUAUGGCUACAAUCUUAUAGCCCCAUUCUAUGCUGGAAUAAGACCAUGCUGGGAUUUACUUCUGAGUGGACAUUUCUUUGUUAUUUUAAAUGCCCCACUUCCACUCCUCCCAGAGGAGUUUCUCAAAGCAACUUGGAAAUUAAAAAAGAGAGAUAAAAAGCAAUGAUCCAUCCAUUAAAACACAAAUAAUAAAAUGGAAAAAGCAG
rnacentral:lncRNA from 1 species